rnacentral:rRNA from 1 species
AGUGAACGCUGGCGGUAGGCCUAACACAUGCAAGUCGAACGGCAGCACAGUAAGAGCUUGCUCUUACGGGUGGCGAGUGGCGGACGGGUGAGGAAUACAUCGGAAUCUACUUUUUCGUGGGAGAUAACGUAGGGAAACUUACGCUAAUACCGCAUACGACCUACGGGUGAAAGCAGGGGAUCUUCGGACCUUGCGCGAUUGAAUGAGCCGAUGUCGGAUUAGCUAGUUGGCGGGGUAAAGGCCCACCAAGGCGACGAUCCGUAGCUGGUCUGAGAGGAUGAUCAGCCACACUGGAACUGAGACACGGUCCAGACUCCUACGGGAGGCAGCAGUGGGGAAUAUUGGACAAUGGGCGCAAGCCUGAUCCAGCCAUACCGCGUGGGUGAAGAAGGCCUUCGGGUUGUAAAGCCCUUUUGUUGGGUAAGAAAAGCAGCAGGUUAAUACCCCGCUGUUCUGACGGUACCCAAAGAAUAAGCACCGGCUAACUUCGUG